UACGUAGGCAGCAAGCGUUGUUCGGAGUUACUGGGCGUAAAGGGUGCGUAGGCGGUUGUUUAAGUUUGGUGUGAAAUCUCCCGGCUCAACUGGGAGGGUGCGCCGAAUACUGAAUGACUAGAGUGCGGGAGAGGAGAGUGGAAUUCCUGGUGUAGCGGUGAAAUGCGUAGAUAUCAGGAGGAACACCUGUGGCGAAAGCGGCGCACUGGACCACAACUGACGCUGAGGCGCGAAAGCUAGGGGAGCAAACAGG
rnacentral:rRNA from 1 species